UGGGGAAUAUUGGACAAUGGGCGAAAGCCUGAUCCAGCAACGCCGCGUGAGGGAUGACGGCCUUCGGGUUGUAAACCUCUUUCAGCAGGGACGAAGCGCAAGUGACGGUACCUGCAGAAGAAGCACCGGCCAACUACGUGCCAGCAGCCGCGGUAAUACGUAGGGUGCGAGCGUUGUCCGGAAUUAUUGGGCGUAAAGGGCUCGUAGGCGGUUUGUCGCGUCGGGAGUGAAAACUCAGGGCUUAACCCUGAGCCUGCUUCCGAUACGGGCAGACUAGAGGUAUGCAGGGGAGAACGGAAUUCCUGGUGUAGCGGUGAAAUGCGCAGAUAUCAGGAGGAACACCGGUGGCGAAGGCGGUUCUCUGGGCAUUACCUGACGCUGAGGAGCGAAAGUGUGGGGAGCGAACAGG
rnacentral:rRNA from 1 species